rnacentral:rRNA from 1 species
CGUGAGGGAAAGGCGAAAAGAACCCCGGCGAGGGGAGUGAAAAAGAACCUGAAACCGUGUACGUACAAGCAGUGGGAGCACCCUUUGGGGUGUGACUGCGUACCUUUUGUAUAAUGGGUCAGCGACUUAUAUUCUGUAGCAAGGUUAACCGAAUAGGGGAGCCGGAGGGAAACCGAGUCUUAAUUGGGCGUUAAGUUGCAGGGUAUAGACCCGAAACCCGGUGAUCUAGCCAUGGGCAGGUUGAAGGUUGGGUAACACUAACUGGAGGACCGAACCGACUAAUGUUGAAAAAUUAGCGGAUGACCUGUGGCUGGGGGUGAAAGGCCAAUCAAACCGGGAGAUAGCUGGUUCUCCCCGAAAGCUAUUUAGGUAGCGCCUCGUGAAUUCAUCUCCGGGGGUAGAGCACUGUUUCGGCUAGGGGGCCAUCCCGGCUUACCAACCCGAUGCAAACUGCGAAUACCGGAGAAUGUUAUCACGGGAGACACACGGCGGGUGCUAACGUCCGUCGUGAAGAGGGAAACAACCCAGACCGCCAGCUAAGGUCCCAAAGUCAUGGUUAAGUGGGAAACGAUGUGGGAAGGCCCAGACAGCCAGGAUGUUGGCUUAGAAGCAGCCAUCAUUUAAAGAAAGCGUAAUAGCUCACUGGUCGAGUCGGCCUGCGCGGAAGAUGUAACGGGGCUAAACCAUGCACCGAAGCUGCGGCAGCGACGUUUAUGCGUUGUUGGGUAGGGGAGCGUUCUGUAAGCCUGCGAAGGUGGCCUGUGAGGGUUGCUGGAGGUAUCAGAAGUGCGAAUGCUGACAU